ensembl:lncRNA novel transcript, antisense to PKD1
CUCACCUGGGGCAGCGUAGGUGUGCAUGACAUUGUGCUCCACCAGCACCUGGGCCACCGAGGGGUCUGGAACCGGGAAGGACUCGUUGUACGGAGGCUGGAACUGGUGGAGGGCCUGCUCCCCAUCCCCAAAGGUCCACCUGCCGGGGCGGUGGGACGCACCAUGGCAGCGUCCUCGGGCAGCAUGAAGCAGAGCAGAAGGCAGAGGUGAAGGUGGAGCCCGCCCCCGCCCUGCCCCGCCCCAUCCCCUCCCCUCCCCACCCCCGCCCACCUACUGAGAGCUUGAAGACCGCCGCGCUCUGAUAAAUGACAUUGAAGACCACGUUCUGGAAGGUCAGGGACUGCUUGUCGUUGAUGGUCCACCGGAAGACCAUGUCCGAGCCGGCCUCCACCACGGGGCUGUACCUCUGCGGGGGGAAUGGUGUCAGCCUGGGCUCUGUGGAGGACUCUGCCCUUA